AAUAGAUACCCGGGUAGUCCAUGCCGUAAACGUUGGGAACUAGGUGUGGGUCUCAUUCCACGAGAUCCGUGCCGCAGCUAACGCAUUAAGUUCCCCGCCUGGGGAGUACGGCCGCAAGGCUAAAACUCAAAGGAAUUGACGGGGGCCCGCACAAGCGGCGGAGCAUGCGGAUUAAUUCGAUGCAACGCGAAGAACCUUACCAAGGCUUGACAUACACCGGAAACAUUCAGAGAUGGGUGCCCCGCAAGGUCGGUGUACAGGUGGUGCAUGGUUGUCGUCAGCUCGUGUCGUGAGAUGUUGGGUUAAGUCCCGCAACGAGCGCAACCCUCGUUCUAUGUUGCCAGCACGUGAUGGUGGGGACUCAUAGGAGACUGCCGGGGUCAACUCGGAGGAAGGUGGGGAUGACGUCAAAUCAUCAUGCCCCUUAUGUCUUGGGCUUCACGCAUGCUACAAUGGCCGGUACAAAGGGCUGCGAAACCGUGAGGUGGAGCGAAUCCCAAAAAACCGGUCUCAGUUCGGAUUGGGGUCUGCAACUCGA
rnacentral:rRNA from 1 species